rnacentral:rRNA from 1 species
CUACGGGCCGCUGCAGUGGGGAAUAUUGGACAAUGGACCAAAAGUCUGAUCCAGCAAUUCUGUGUGCACGAUGACGGUCUUCGGAUUGUAAAGUGCUUUCAGUUGGGAAGAAAAAAAUGACGGUACCAACAGAAGAAGCGACGGCUAAAUACGUGCCAGCAGCCGCGGUAAUACGUAUGUCGCAAGCGUUAUCCGGAUUUAUUGGGCGUAAAGCGCGUCUAGGUGGUUUGAUAAGUCUGAUGUGAAAAUGCGGGGCUCAACUCCGUAUUGCGUUGGAAACUGUCAAACUAGAGUAUCGGAGAGGUGGGCGGAACUACAAGUGUAGAGGUGAAAUUCGUAGAUAUUUGUAGGAAUGCCGAUAGAGAAGUCAGCUCACUGGACGAAUACUGACACUGAAGCGCGAAAGCAUGGGGAGCAAACAGGAUUAGAUACCCUGGUAGUC